UUAGACUAAUUUUUUAAUGUAUUGUGCUUGAAGAACAUUGUGUAUUACAUAUUAAAUUAAAAUUUUUUUAAAUUUUAUUAAAAAAAUUUUUUUUAAAUUAUUUUCAGUCGAAAAAUAAAACCUGUAAACAAUUUCUCUCGUUCAAAUGCCAGUGAAAUGAACGUGAUACUGAAAAUGAAAAUGAUACUGGAAAAGCACACUUUCUUAUAUCUAAACAUCAUUGCAGCUUUCUAGCCUUCAUUUUUGUUUAUGUGUAUUUCAUCUGUGUUGCUAAUGAUAUCGCCAGUUUAUAUGAUUUUAUGUUGUUAAGUAAAGCAUUCUUAUGUUUUAGGCUAAAAUAGAGCUUUUACUAAUACUUUUUCCAGUUUAAAUGAAUAACAACUCUCAAGGUGUAUUAGCUGAAUUAUCUUUUUGUUUUGAUAGUCUUUAGUUAAUAACGGAUUUUUAAAUUGUUAUGAGUCUACAACACUUAAUUUCAGCGAAAAUCAAUUAAAAAGUCAUGUUAUAGAAGACAGAAAAAUAUCAAUAUCUGUUUUCAAUAACUUGACUUUCAUAGCAAAUCCGAGAGGUGCAAAUGUUUAGCUUGAUUUAAGUACUACAUAAUAAAAUACAUUGUUGUACAGUCAUUUUGAUGGUUGUAAAUUUAUUUAGCACACUCAUUUUUAUAUAUUUUCAGACUGUUUACCGUUUGACUACUGUCCCGAUCUAACCUAGUGGGUUCAAAAAGAAGGAACCGCGCUGGAAACAUGAGUGGAUUAAAUGGAUCAGCCCUUUAUGAAUUAAUAGUCGAAGUGGUAACCAGCUAGAAGUCGUAACCUGCUCGUAUGAAAGGAUUUCUUGACGUGAAAUUGUUAAUUUUAUUCAACAACGCCAAAAAAACAGAAAAGAAAGAGAAAGAUGAAAAAAUAUUCUGUUGAACAAUA